ACGAACGUUGGCGGUGUGCCUAAUACAUGCAAGUCGAGCGAGAAAGCCGGGGCAACUCGGCGAGUACAGCGGCGGAAGGGUGCGUAAUACAUGGUUAACGUACCCCCCAGUUCGGGAUAACUGUCCGAAAGGUCAGCUAAUACCGGGUAAUGGCAACGGGUGGCAUCAUCUGUUGCUUAAAGCCGUAAGGCGCUGGGGGAGCGGACCAUGGCCUAUCAGCUAGUUGGCGGGGUAACGGCCCACCAAGGCAAUGACGGGUAGCCGGACUGAGAGGUUGAACGGCCACACGGGAACUGAGACACGGUCCCGACAUCUACGGAUGGCAGCAGUAGGGAAUCUUGCGCAAUGGGCGAAAGCCUGACGCAGCGACACCGCGUGGGGGAUGAAGGCCUUCGGGUUGUAAACCCCUUUCAUGAGGGAAGAACACUGACCUAACCUCAGGAAGAAGCACCGGCUAACUCCGU
rnacentral:rRNA from 1 species